CAUUGAGCAAUCUUGAAACUGUUCUUUUUUCUUAUUUUUUGAUCAAAUUUGAUUUUAGGUCCUAUCCCUUGAUUUAUCUUUGCAAAAAUAUAAAUUUACAUCGAAACGCGUUAUAUAAACGCGAAUACUAGUUUACUCUUUCAUUUAGUUGAAGUUUGGUAAUUCAGUUUCGUUGAACUUCGUGUCAUAAAAACGAAACGGAAUAUACAUCUGCUCUCGGUUGAAUUUACUUCAAUUCUGACGUCGCAUUCGUAUCUUUCUAAGGAAGUCGUAGAAACUCUUCGAAACGCGUUAUCCUACAUUUUUACGAUUUUCAUACAAAGUUACGAAGCAAUCAGUUCGACUUUCAAAUCUGUAAUCCUCUCACUGACGGCGGUAUUGCUAAACUUCGAAUCCUCUACUUCUCCUCUACUUUUACAACGAUGCUUGUCGAUACAUUUUAUAUUUAUGACAAACUGCUGGUUAGAAACGAUGCUUAUUACCAACGAACACAAACAAACUAUUCGCUGCAGUAAUUGCUUCUUCAUCAAAUCAAUAUUUAUUUCUAGGAAACUAGACCUUCUCCAAAUUGCAUAUGAAAAUAUUAACGAUAAAAAUACAAUAAUAUAUUGUAGGUUAGAAACGAUGCUUAAUGCCAAGAAAGACAGACUAUCUGCUGUGGAAAUUACAUCUUGACCAACCCAAUAUUUAUUCUUAAAAGCUGAAACCCGAUCUUCUUCCAAAUUGUGUAUUGGAAUAACAAUAAUAAAGAUACAAUGAUAUAUUGUAGGUUAGGAACGAUGCUUAUUGUCAAGAAACGCAAACUAUUUGCUGUGGAAAUUAUAUCUUGACCAACCAGAUAUUUAUUCUUAAAAGCUGAAACCUGAUCUUUUUCCAAAUUGUGUAUUGGAAUAACAACAAUAAAGAUACAAUGAUAUAUUGUAGGUUAGGAACGAUGCUUAUUGUCAAGAAACGCAAACUAUUUGCUGUGGAGAUUAUAUCUUGACCAACCGGAUAUUUAUUCUUAAAAGCUGAAACCUGAUCUUUUUCCAAAUUGUGUAUUGGAAUAACAACAACGAAGAUACAAUAAUACAUUGUAGGUUAGAAACUGUUUUAUCGACAAGGAACAAAAGAAUCUUAUCCAUCGUAGAAAUUCGACGUUACUUCUCAACAACUAACUAUUUAUCCUUAAAAGCUCGAAUUUAUUUAAAGAGACAACGCAUAGCGCGCAUACGGUAGAAGAGAACCGUUGUAC
rnacentral:misc_RNA from 1 species